rnacentral:rRNA from 1 species
AUUAAAUAAAUUAUUUAUAUUAUUAGUUUAGAAAUUUUAUAAAAUAAAAAUAUUAUUAUUAAUUAUUUUGUUAAGAAAAAUUUAUUUUAAUUAUAGUUAUUAGUAUAGUGAUAGAAUUUUAUUAAAUAUUUUACAGAAAAAAUUAUAUUUUGUAUCUUGUGUAUCAGAGUUGAUUUAUUAAAAAUUAAAAAUUUAAUUUUCUCGAAUUUAAAAGAGUUAAUAAUUUAUAUUUUUUAUUGUAAAAUAAAUAUUAUUAAUAAAUUAUUAGAAAUGAAAUGUUAUUCGAUUUUAAAUAUAUCUAGUUUUUAAAGAAAAAAUUUUAAAUUAUUUAUUUAAAAUUAAAAAUUUAAUUAGAAAAUUUUUUAAUUUAAGUAGGUUAUAUUUUUAGGGAUGAGCUUAAAAAUAAAUUAUUAUAAAUAAUUAAAAAUUUUAAUUUGUAGGAUUAGAAAUUUCUUUCAAUAAAAAAUUGUUAUAAUUUAUUAUGAAUUUAUUAUUAUUUUUAUUUAUUUUAAAUUUUUUAUUUAAAUUUUUAUUAAAAUUUUAAAAAUACUAUAAUAAUGAUUAAAUUAGUAAAAAUAAUUGUUUAGUUUUUAAAUAAAAAUUAAUUUUAAAUUAAGGAAUUCGGCAAAAAUAAUUUUCACCUGUUUAUUAAAAACAUGGCUUUUAGAAAAUAAUUUAAGGUCUGGCCUGCCCACUGAAAUAUUAAAGGGCCGCAGUAUUUUGACUGUGCUAAGGUAGCAUAAUCAUUAGUUUCUUAAUUGGAAGCUGGAAUGAAUGGUUAAAUGAAAAAUUAUCUGUCUCAAUUUAAUAAAAUGAAUUUUAUUUUUAAGUGAAAAAGCUUAAAUUUAUAUAUUAGACGAGAAGACCCUAUAGAGUUUUAUAAUUCAGGAAAAAAUUUUUUUUAGUAAUAAUAGAUUUUUUUUUUAUUUAUUUGGUUGGGGUGAUUAAAAAAUUUAAUUAACUUUUUAAUAAUUUAAACAAAAAUUUUUGAAUCUUUGAUCCAUAUUGAUGAUUAAUAGAGAAAUUACCUUAGGGAUAACAGCGUAAUUUUUUUUGAGAGUUCUAAUCGAAAAAAAAGUUUGCGACCUCGAUGUUGGAUUAAAAUUUAAUUUUGGCGUAGAAGUUAAAAAUUUAGGUCUGUUCGACCUUUAAAAUUUUACAUGAUCUGAGUUUAAACCGGUGUGAGCCAGGUUGGUUUCUAUCUUUAGAUAAAUAAAAUAUUUUAGUACGAAAGGACCAAAUAUUUAAUUAAUAAUUUUAAAUAGAAUAAGAUU